rnacentral:tRNA from 1 species
GACCGCGCAGCUCAGUUGGCAGAGCAUUUGGCUGGUGUUCCAAAAGUUGUAGGUUCGAUUCCCACCGUGGUCA